AGUGAACGCUGGCGGUAGGCCUAACACAUGCAAGUCGAACGGCAGCACAGGAGAGCUUGCUCUCUGGGUGGCGAGUGGCGGACGGGUGAGGAAUACAUCGGAAUCUACUCUGUCGUGGGGGAUAACGUAGGGAAACUUACGCUAAUACCGCAUACGACCUACGGGUGAAAGCAGGGGACCUUCGGGCCUUGCGCGAUUGAAUGAGCCGAUGUCGGAUUAGCUAGUUGGCGGGGUAAAGGCCCACCAAGGCGACGAUCCGUAGCUGGUCUGAAAGGAUGAUCAGCCACACUGGAACUGAGAAACGGUCCAGACUCCUACGGGAGUCAGCAGUGGGGAAUAUUGGACAAUGGGCGCAAGCCUGAUCCAGCCAUACCGCGUGGGUGAAGAAGGCCUUCGGGUUGUAAAGCCCUUUUGUUGGGAAAGAAAUCCAGCUGGCUAAUACCCGGUUGGGAUGACGGUACCCAAAGAAUAAGCACCGGCUAACUUCGUGCCAGCAGCCGCCGUAA
rnacentral:rRNA from 1 species